GUUUCUUUAAGGAGGGAACCUGAGUUUUGAAGUGAUUCUUUUUGGUGUGUUUUGGGGUUUUGUCUCUCCUUCCUUUUAGCUUUUUUUCAGUUUGGUAUGAGUAAAGCUGAAUUCUUUUUGAAAAUAGGAGAAUAGAUUGAGUUAACUAGUUGACUAGCUUGGAGCAACGGUAAAGUUGUAUCAGUGUGACCUAUAAGUGUUUGAGUGGUGGAAUAACGAGUGAUGAUUGUAGCAGGGUAGACUGUCUACAUCACACCUCUUAGGAUGCUUUGUGCACUUGGCUUCUAUUUUUUUUAGGAGGUUAUUCUUUUGAUUCUUUAGCAUAAUUUCGGUAUAUUUCCUGAUUUUGACUGUUUCUG
rnacentral:misc_RNA from 1 species